AUCCCGCAGGCAAAGUCAGAUUUUUGGAGCGCCAAGUUAAAAUUAACCAAUGAGCGACAGAUUACGCAUGUGUAGCCUGUCAAAGCGGUUUGUUGUCACAGGGCUUUGCUCUGCUGCCGGAGUGCCGGAUACUAUUUCCAACGUGGUUUUGAAGAUGCGUGCGCACGGAAAGUCACUAUGGAAGUUUUAUGAUCUUACAGGAAAAGGGUCAAUUACCGUUCUAAAAGUUGAAGGAGUUACAUUCCACAUGAUAUGCACGCAUUUCCACAUCUGUGAAGUAGUGUACUUGGCGUUUUUUUUUUAACGUGGUUUUCCCCGUGGGCCUACUCCACGAUCUGUUAUGACGGAGUUAUAUCGGAAAUUACGGUAUUUAAGUACGGCAUGAUGAUUAUUGUUAUUUAUAUAGUUAAUUGAUUUAAACCAUAGUUCUAAUUUCUGUUAACAUUUUAAUUUGAUUCACACUUUUCAAAUUCGACUUCAACAAUCUUAUCUUCCUCAAUUUCUUCUUCUUCUUCCUCUUCUUCUUGCUGGUUGUUCGUAAAUUGUUCAACUGAAGAUGAAUCAGCUGUCUCUUCAUCGAUAUCACAUCUAAUCUAAUUGUAUACUCAAUAUUUAUUCAUGCCACGAGGGAAAUACAUUGGUGCUAAAAUUAGCUCUCCUUCCCCUCUCCUUGUGGGUAGGGCAGGGGUUAACCUUGAAACCUUAAAUAUGAACUGCUAUCUAUUACUGCAGAUUCGAAGUCUAAGUACGCAUGAUUUGUCUGAAACAUUUUUUUCAAUUUGUGACAAAUGGUGCUGAAUCGAAGAAAUUCAAAAUUUUUCGGUUUCUCCUGAGAAAAAAUGCAUAUGAUUCUGCAAUACGUUGGCAAUAAAAAAAUACCACGUUUUUUGUAAGUACUCGAAAAUCGUCGUUUAUGCUGCAAAUUUCGAACAACUUGGAAAUUGUUACUUACCUGUAGAAAUGUCAAUGACUGGCGAAUGAACGACUUUUAGCGCAACCCAGGAACAACGAUGGGAACAAAUUAGUAUUCUGUUCGCUUCAGGGUGCUCGGUUAAAGUGGGUCCCUCUCGCCUCUGACUUAUUAUGGUGCUUAAUUUAGUGCCCUCGUCUCGCCAUCUUUCAAUUAAAGUAAGUGCUCAAAAUGAUGGCCUUUGAAUUCAGUGGAUAUUGAAUGUGCACUGAGAAAUGUGUCUGCUUGAAUUUCGGCACAAGCAUGUUUGAUUUGUUAGCACCACAAAAAGAAUCGGACCAGCUCUACCGAUCCAGUGACCAUUGAAAUCAUGAUUCAGUAUUCCACGUGCUACCAUCGAAUAGUCUUCUGGACAACCAUCAUGUUGAAAUCACAUGUUCUGCCGCACUUCUAAGCUCACUCUUUGAUAGCUCUGUCUAUGGUAGAGAAGCGUAUUUCUAGUUGAGGAUUAAAACACAGUCUUCAUCAAUCCACUUGCUUAUUUGUUCUUUUGUUCUUCAGUUAAGUUUCAUGGAUGGUGCCUAGCACUUCUUUCCUUCGCUUGGUUAGUGUUUUUCUCACUCGAGAAAAUUUUUAUGACAGUGUUUGGUAGGACAUUAAACUGCUGUCCAUAUUGGCCGCUGUACGAUGAAAUUGUUUUGUCAAAAAAUGAAACUAUUUUGACACAAAAUGAAAUAAUUUGAUAAAUAGUGGAACACAACUGACGCAAGACGAAAAACAAAAGAGAAAGACUGUAUUAUGAUGGACAUCUUUGUAAUUCAAUAAUAUGUGUAUCUAUAUUCUACAUCUGUCUUCAGACAUUGUGAAGAUUUGUAUUAUGUUUAUUUAUUUAUUCUUAUAAUUUAACUUGUUUUUGAGAUUCACACAUGUGUCACUUCUUAGAAAAAAUAGCUACAGACAACGUAGGCCAAUUCACUUUCUUUUAUGGAUUCUUAUUUAAAUUGAAAUGAAUAAACUAAACUAAAAACAAAACUUAAAUUCAAAUCAAAACUAGUUUUUUCGUGAGGCCUUCACAACAAUACGAAGAGAGCUGCAGCAAAACCUGACGUAUGUCUAACUAUCCAACUUGAAAAAUGCAAAAAAAAACACGAAAACUAAGUGUAGUUGUUUCCAUAAUUUUUAUGUCAUGGGCUCUCCGACAUAAUAUAUUUUUACGAAAUAAACCCAUACGCCGCCCCGCAACGACGCCUUUGGCUCUUCUAGUAUGUAUGUGUUUAUCCUGGUAUGUGCGGCGGUGAUGACUCAUCGACCGGGCGGCGCGGCGUUCGCUGACGAAAAGCCUGGAAGCGGAACUCGCGAUGGGUAGCCCAGAAAACCCCCCGAAGCGGCGUUUUCGAAUCAUCGAGAGGAAGAUUUAGGUUUAAAUAGAGACCACCGGCGGGAAAGAGGAUUAUUCGUCGAUUUGAGUCAAGAGCGUCUAGUGAAGUGUGCAGGAAUUAUAGUCGUGUAAAUUCGCAUUAUUAAGAAAUAAAUUGUUGAAUUUUA